rnacentral:rRNA from 1 species
GAUGAACGCUGGCGGCGUGCCUAAUACAUGCAAGUCGAGCGAACAGACGAGGAGCUUGCUCCUCUGACGUUAGCGGCGGACGGGUGAGUAACACGUGGAUAACCUACCUAUAAGACUGGGAUAACUUCGGGAAACCGGAGCUAAUACCGGAUAAUAUAUUGAACCGCAUGGUUCAAUAGUGAAAGACGGUUUUGCUGUCACUUAUAGAUGGAUCCGCGCCGCAUUAGCUAGUUGGUAAGGUAACGGCUUACCAAGGCAACGAUGCGUAGCCGACCUGAUAGGGUGAGCGGCCACACUGGAACUGAGACACGGUCCAGACUCCUACGGGAGGCAGCAGUAGGGAAUCUUCCGCAAUGGGCGAAAGCCUGACGGAGCAACGCCGCGUGAGUGAUGAAGGUCUUCGGAUCGUAAAACUCUGUUAUUAGGGAAGAACAAAUGUGUAAGUAACUAUGCACGUCUUGACGGUACCUAAUCAGAAAGCCACGGCUAACUACGUG